GAAUUCGCCCUUAGAGUUUGAUCCUGGCUCAGGACGAACGCUGGCGGCGUGCUUAACACAUGCAAGUCGAACGAAGCUUGAUGAUUGAUUUCUUCGGAAAGAAAUUCGAUAUGACUGAGUGGCGGACGGGUGAGUAACGCGUGAGCAACCUGCCCUUCAGAGGGGGAUAGCGUCUGGAAACGGACGGUAAUACCGCAUAACGUACAAAGGCCGCAUGACCAUUGUACCAAAACUGAGGUGCUGAAGGAUGGGCUCGCGUUGGAUUAGAUAGUUGGUGGGGUAACGGCCUACCAAGUCGGCGAUCCAUAGCCGGACUGAGAGGUUGAACGGCCACAUUGGGACUGAGACACGGCCCAGACUCCUACGGGAGGCAGCAGUGGGGAAUACUGCACAAUGGGGGAAACCCUGAUGCAGCAACGCCGCGUGAAGGAAGACGGUUUUCGGAUUGUAAACUUCUGUUCUUAGUGAAGAUAGUGACGGUAGCUAAGGAGCAAGCCACGGCUAACUACGUGCCAGCAGCCGCGGUAAUACGUAGGUGGCAAGCGUCGUCCGGAAUUACUGGGUGUAAAGGGAGCGCAGGCGGGGAGCCAAGUCAGCUGUGAAAACUACAGGCUUAACUUGUAGACUGCAGUUGAAACUGGUUUUCUUGAGUGAAGUAGAGGUUGGCGGAAUUCCGAGUGUAGCGGUGAAAUGCGUAGAUAUUCGGAGGAACACCGGUGGCGAAGGCGGCCAACUGGGCUCUAACUGACGCUGAGGCUCGAAAGUGUGGGGAGCAAACAGGAUUAGAUACCCUGGUAGUCCACACUGUAAACGAUGAUUG
rnacentral:rRNA from 1 species